rnacentral:misc_RNA from 1 species
UUUACUGUUUUUACUUGCUGGAAGGUCGUUUCAGAUUAUUAAUAGCUCUGUGUCAUGGCCAUUUUUGAGGGUUGUUUAGCAGUAAUGGCUGCUGUAACAGCCACUCUUACCUACAAAUUCUUCGCUUUCCCAAUUCCUCCUCAGGCAGAAGAAACUUACAAGAGAAGAACCCUCCUUCUAUUCUGGUGGAUUUUGCAAUCUUGGAUCAAGUUCAAGCUAUGUUUUGUGAAAGGCCACGAGAUAAUGAUGGCACGAGUAGAGGCGCCACCUCGCUCGUACCCAGAGGACACUGUUGUGGUAGGUAUCCACAUAAGUGAUACAUGUACUUGUAAGGGAUACUAUGUACAAUGAAAUAUACUUUGAUAAAAAGUUUUAUAUUGAAAGUAUUUGAACAUGUUUGAAUUUAUUCUGUUUUAUUUUCAACAUAGGACAAUUUACUGAGUAUGUAUGUCUUGAAGAAGAAAUCAUGCAGAUAGUCCUAAAAUUAUAUAUAUUUUCCCGAAGAAUAUUUUUAUUUAUUAUGAAAUGAUGUGAUUGUCGAUAAAUACUAAGUUGAAUUUCAUUAUCUCGUGUUUAGUAUGCAAAAAUUGAUUAUAAACUACCGUGAUCCGUACCCUUUAAUUUAUUUUAUUUCACAUCAAACGGAAUAUCACUCUAUUCACAUUUAUUGAUAUUUUCAAAUCACAACAUUAAAUUAAACUGGGUUCUCAAUUUCAAUGAAGACAGAAGACACCGAAAUGAUGGGAGUUCCUGUCCGGAUCUUUCGCCCCAAAGAGGCAAGCGACGACAAACUGCCAGGGGUCAUCUAUUAUCACGGCGGGGGCUGGUGUUGGGACCUUUGGGAGGCUUACGAUGCAACGCUGAGAGUUGUGGCGCGGCUGGAUAAAAUGGUCAUUGUUUCCGUCCGGUAAGACUACUGGCUCUUUCCAAGAACCGUAACGUUCUCAGAUCAGAAAUAGUGCAGUACGAUUUAGUUUAACCUCUAGAUCUCGAGACUCGAUCCGCUUUAACUGUAUGUAUUGCUUAAGAUGUAAAAAAAAUUUUUAAUAAGUUACAAAUUAAAGAAUAUCAAUCGCAACUUCUCUGACGUUAUCGGAAAAACGUUGGGAAAGACCCGAGAGGACUGUUGCCAUUAACUUUAUAUGUUCUGUAUCAGUGAAAUAUUUUAAAAUUGUCUUCUUGGGAGGGGUUGGGUUAUGGUGUUAACCAACUAAUUGUAAUGACGUAGUAAUCAUCUUCGACUGUAUAUAUCUACUUUGGUUCAGACUGGGAGUUUCUUGCAGCUUUAAACUUCUGUUAAAAGAAUUGAACAUGGCAGAUAAUAUUUACAUUACCCACAUAUAAUUUUCUGCAGUGGUCAUUAAUACCUUCAAAUCUUUUUAUUUGUCACAGCUAUCGACUUGCGCCAGAGAACCCUUUUCCCGCCGGACCAGACGACUGUUUUGUCGUCACUCGUCACGUGUUAGAAAAUACCGAGACACUCGGCAUGGAUCCAGAAAACAUCACAUUGAUGGGAGACAGCGCUGGAGGAAAUUUAGCCAUGGUCAUGAUGAUAAAAUUAUUGUCUUCGUCCAAGAAAAUAGACAAUCUUCCCAAUGUGAAGAAUUUGGUUCUAAUAUAUCCUGCUUUACAAGCGAUGAAUUUUAAAUUACCAUCAUAUAAACAACACAGGGGAUCUAAUAUACCCACAAUUCUCUCUUCGGAGAUAAUGGUCAAGUUUUACGUUGCUUACGCCCUCGGCAUGGAAUUCGUUGGUGUUGAGGAACUUCUACAGAAUUCUCACUGGUCAGAAGAAAUGGAAGCAAAAUCAACGUGUAGGUGGAUCCAAAAAGAAGCGGAUUCUCUUCGCGAAGCCACAGAGUCGGACCCAAAACACAGGAAUUCUCUUUUAGCGAAAAAAGUAAAUAAAUAUUUUCUCGAUCCUCACUUCUCGCCUCUUCUCGCAGACGACAAGAUUUUGAAGAGAUUUCCAAAUACAUACGUUUUAUCGGCAGAAAUGGACCCCCUGCGGGAUGAUAGUUUUCUGUUGGUAAAAAGACUAAAUGAGUUAGGGGUGAGGGUCAAACAUCGCCACUGGGAAAGCAUGGACCAUGGUUUUAUAGGAAUCACGAUUCUUUACAAAAAUGCACAGAAAGCUUUGGAAGAAGUUGUAGAGUAUCUAAAGCAACAAUCUACGGAUGAUAUUUAGGGUUAAAUUACGGACCCCAAUAUUACCAUUAGUCUGUUUGUGCACCAAUACAAACAAUUUUAUUCAUUUGUACAAUUUAGAAUAAAAAGCUACAUUUCCU